rnacentral:tRNA from 1 species
GGAGCGGUGUCCGAACUGGCUAAGGAACCGGUCUUGAAAACCGGCGCCCGCAAGGGCAUGUGGGUUCGAAUCCCACCCGCUCCG